UACGUAGGAGGCGAGCGUUGUCCGGAUUUACUGGGCGUAAAGCGCGCGCAGGCGGCACGCCAAGUACGGAGUGAAAUCUCCCUGCCUAACGGGGAGGGUGCUCUGUAAACUGGCGAGCUAGAGGACGGUAGAGGGGGGUGGAAUUGCUGGUGUAGCGGUGAAAUGCGUAGAGAUCAGCAGGAACACCCGUGGCGAAGGCGGCCCCCUGGGCCGUACCGUGACGCUGAGGCGCGAAGGCUAGGGGAGCGAACGGGGAUUAAGAA
rnacentral:rRNA from 1 species